rnacentral:tRNA from 1 species
GGGUGUAUAGCUCAGUGGUAGAGUGCAUGCUUAGCAUGCAUGAGGUCUUGGGCUCAAGUCCAGUACCUUCA